rnacentral:rRNA from 1 species
UACAGAGGGUGCGAGCGUUGUCCGGAAUCACUGGGCGUAAAGGGCGCGUAGGCGGCCUGAUAAGUAGGGGGUGAAAUCUUGCGGCUCAACCGCAAGGCUGCCUUCUAAACUGUCAGGCUGGAGCACGGUAGAGGCAGACGGAAUUCCCGGUGUAGCGGUGAAAUGCGUAGAUAUCGGGAGGAACAUCGAUGGCGAAGGCAAUCACCUGGGCCUGAACUGACACUGAGACACGAAAGCGUGGGUAGCAAACAGG